rnacentral:misc_RNA from 1 species
GAUGAAGAACGCAGCGAAAUGCGAUACUUGGUGUGAAUUGCAGAAUCCCGUGAACCAUCGAGUCUUUGAACGCAAGUUGUGCCCGAAGCCACUAGGCCGAGGGCACGCCUGCCUGGGUGUCACACGUCGUUGCCCCCCCCAUCUACUCCUUCGGGAUUGCGGGGGGCGGAUGAUGGCCUCCCGUGCGCCUAGCCGCGCGGUUGGCAUAAAUACCAAGUCCUCGGCGACGCACGCCACGACAAUCGGUGGUUGCGAAACCUCGGUUGCCCGUCGUGUGCGUUCGUCGCGCAUCGAGGGCUCGAAAAAAUGCUCGGCUCCGGCUCGGCUUUCAACGCGACCCCAGGUCAGGCGGGGUUACCCGCUGAAUUUAAGCAUAUCAAUAAGCGGAGGA